UUUGCCAUCUUCCUGGGCUUGGAUCAUUAGCUGCAAUGUUAUUAUAGAUGUGCAGGUUAAUCUAGUCCUGUUCCAAUUCUCUGGGUAAUUGAAACACGGCAGAAAAGCCCCACCCACCACCAACUUCUUCCUUUAGCAGUGGCUUUCCUCUGAGCACCAGGGGCUGUUUUCCCCAGAGCAUGUUACUGUGCUGUUACUGAGAAUACAAAUAUUCUCAGAAAGGGAAGUCUUUACACAGCAGAGAUUUUGGAAAGUGUUGAGCAGAGCUUGAUGACAUGUAGAAUUAUGUACUGGGUGUUUUUUUAAAUAAACUUGCUACUGAGCAUGAUUGAUUAUAUUUCUUUUUAAUGAUUGCAUCCAGAAUGAAAAUGAUGGUUGGGGAGCUUGGAUACGAUGAUAAAGAUGACUCCCAUCUGAAGUAGGAUCACACUUUAGGGAAAAAGAUCUGCAGAGAAAAGGAAAGCUGCAAAAACAACAAAGAGUCAUUGAUUGGGAAUUCUCUCUUUGCUCAUCUAAGAUGGACCCUCAUCUUCUUCAUGAGCCUUGUGUUCUUCCCAGUGAACUCAUGGCAGAAUUAUUUCCAGGACUCCAGUUAAGAAAGUUAUAAUAUUUCCAGUAAGAUUUUAAGACACCCUGAAAUAAUAUAGUGCCUGAACACCUGGAUAAACCCAGAGGAGCAGCUGUGCAAUAUCUUGGUUGUGCCAAGAUUGGGAAUCGAUUGCCCCAUCCAGUGGCCCAUCCUAUAGACAUGGGAGCUGCAGGGGGAUUCCUGAUGGAUCAGAGGGAUGUCAGGUCUAACAUAUUCUGCAAACUGCUGCAUUUCCUCCUUCAGAAAGAAUUUUACUACUCUAUAACACAUGAGCAUCCUGGCAACCUUCCUAAACCUGUGUGGAGAUGGAUGUGGAAGCUAUUUUGUUUCAGGAUAACCUUUCCCCUGUGUUGCUGUAAGUCUUGAAAAUGAUGGACCUUUCACAGGCAGUGCCUUCUUAGCAGAGACUCUAGCUGUGUUUAAUAUUCAUUGUUUUCAGUUUCUUCUGUUUUGACUAAUGUGAAAGAAAUCUGUUUUUCUUCAUCAAUUCUUUAUUUAAAAAUCUACAAUUAAAAAAAACUAAAAAAAUCCCUGGAACGUGUGCAGUGUUCCCCAAUCUUAGUCCACUUUUGCUGCCCCAUUCAAUUCAGACGGGUCAGAGGUAUCCCAAAACUCUACAAAUUAUAACUUCAGUGCUUUCACUGUCAGUUUUGAAGCUAUUUGUAAUUGAUUUAUUUUUUUUAUUAAACUAAUAAUACUGAAAUAUGAACGAGUUUUGUAUACAUGGAGUAUACAGAGAAAAUAGACUUUACUGUCUGACAGAUAUCUAUAAAGGAAAUUACUGGUUUAAUUUGAAUAAAGAUAUUAAAAGAAUUUCAAGAUGUCAAAGAAAAGCAUAGAAAUAUAAGACAUUCCAGAAUUCCAGCCACUCAAAAAAAGUGCAAUUUUCCCUAUGCAUGCAUAUUUUUUGUCAUACUGUUUUAUUGCUGUACUCAUUUUUUUCCCUUUAAGAUAUCUGCCACCUUCCACAUCUGUUUGACAAGUUCUAUCAUCUUCAUCUUACACUGAACAGGUUCCAGCUUCCAUGCUUAGGGGAUGUAUUGGUCAAGAGGUUUGUUGCUGGCUUUUGAUGUGAUUGUAGGAAGACUCAGAAUAGGAGAUACCUUUCCCAUGUUGAGGGGCGUGGUUCAGAAACACCCAGUUUUCUGGAAAAGGUCGGAUUUUUCUCCUUGUGGGUUUUUUCCUUUCCUUUCCAGGUACCUCCUGAACCAGGCUCUAGACUGCCAUGGGUCCUGUGGUGGAGGAUCAAAGCUCUGCUGUGUGACCCAGCAGCCUCUACUGUCGUGCAGAGCCAGCAGCGUGAGGGGGGAGAUGGAUGCCUCCAGUGGGGAGAUGGAUGCCUCCAGUGGGGAGAUGGAUGCCUCCAGUGGGGAGAUGGAUGCCUCCAGUGGGGAGGGCAGAGAGGCAGCUUGCCCCAGUGAUGCUCAGCUUCUGUCCAAUAACCUGGUUUUUAGCAAGCUCCCUUUGUUUACAUCCCUGCUAGCCACGCAUUCAGUUCUGAAGUGGCAAAGUUGUCUGAUAAUUUGUAAUAAUAUAUUCUAGGGGACAGUACACUGCCAGAGCUCUAUGCCUCCAGUGACUUCUCAGAUCUCAUUUUCUCUUGAUAUUAAACCAAGACAUUUGAGAUCCUCUCUGGCAUUUCAAGUGAGUUUUGGUUUGGGAAAUCAGACUGUAAAGGUAAAACAUCUAUCAUGAUCGUUAUACAAAGUUCACAUUCUGCUUGGAGCAGUUUUUGGAAAAAUGUUUCACAGUUUUUUCAGGUAUAUUAGUCUGAGAGGAUCUUUUGAACUAAUUUCUAAUUCCUCUAUAUCUAAACUAGUUGAUUCACCUUUAGCUCCAUUCAAAUUGAGGAACUUCUGCUGCAGCUGUGAGAUGCUGCAUCAUUAAUAUAGCACUGGCACAGCAGAGUAGCAGUGUGUUCACUGCCUGAAUUGGUGGUUUUACUUGUGUAGCUUCCAGGUUAGCACCUCUUUCUGUAGAGCUAUUACAGAACCAAGCUACCUGGAUUUUAACCUGCAAUUCUCCAGCCCCAGAGCUGGCAAACAGGAAGGAAGACAGCCCCCAGUAAGACACUGUGAUGAGGGAUACCAGAUUUGCAAGCCAGGAGAGAGAAGGGCUCAUUUCUCAGGUACUGCCAUAAUCUUGUUUAACAUUUGCUCAGGGUGUAGAAAAAAAAAGAAACCUCAAGAUAAAAUAUUCCCUUUCUAAGCUGCUUGGAAUGGAAGCGUGUAUGAUGGAAAAUGAUGGCACAUUCUGAAAGUUAUUAUCUGAACACAGAUAAUAACUUUACUCCUGACCACUCUAGGAGAAUAGACCAAUAUUAUUGCUUUUUGAUUUCCCAAGAGAAAUCAAAGAGCCCGGUCAUUUGAUGCCAUAUCCUUGGAGACUAAUGUUUGAUGUCUUUUGGAGCAAAAUGGAGCAGGGUUGUGUAACUGAUGAAAAUCAUUGGUUGUGAACACAAUAAAUUUUAGAUUAUUUAUUUAUACUCCCGAUGGAGCCAGAGUGAUAUUAUUUUGUGGGUGAAAUACAUUCAAUUAAAAACUGAGUUAUGGGAGAAUAACAAAACUGUUUUAGUUUACAACUUUGUAAAUAGUUGAGGCUGCAAAGAAUGGAGGAAGAUAUUUAAAUAUCUGAAUACAACAUCUCAGUGAAUUUGGAGUUAACUUUGCCUUUGUUUAA